rnacentral:rRNA from 1 species
AUUGAACGCUGGCGGCAUGCUUUACACAUGCAAGUCGAACGGUAACAGGCCGCAAGGUGCUGACGAGUGGCGAACGGGUGAGUAAUGCAUCGGAACGUGCCCAGUCGUGGGGGAUAACGCAGCGAAAGCUGCGCUAAUACCGCAUACGAUCUAUGGAUGAAAGCGGGGGACCGUAAGGCCUCGCGCGAUUGGAGCGGCCGAUGUCAGAUUAGGUAGUUGGUGGGGUAAAGGCGCACCAAGCCAACGAUCUGUAGCUGGUCUGAGAGGACGACCAGCCAAACUGGGACUGAGACACGGCCCAGACUCCUACGGGAGGCAGCAGUGGGGAAUUUUGGACAAUGGGCGCAAGCCUGAUCCAGCAAUGCCGCGUGCAGGAAGAAGGCCUUCGGGUUGUAAACUGCUUUUGUACGGAACGAAACGGUCCUGGUUAAUACCCGGGGCUAAUGACGGUACCGUAAGAAUAAGCACCGGCUAACUACGUGCCAGCCGCCGCAGUAACAC